rnacentral:rRNA from 1 species
CCGGGUAGCUAUGUUCGGGAAAGAUAACCGCUGAAAGCAUCUAAGCGGGAAACUUGCCUCAAGAUGAGAUCUCACUGGAACCUUGAGUUCCCUGAAGGGCCGUCGAAGACUACGACGUUGAUAGGUUGGGUGUGUAAGCGCUGUGAGGCGUUGAGCUAACCAAUACUAAUUGCCCGUGAGGCUUGACCA